UACGUAGGGGGCAAGCGUUGUCCGGAAUCAUUGGGCGUAAAGCGCGUGUAGGCGGCUCGGUAAGUCCGCUCUGAAAGUCCGGGGCUCAACCCCGGGAGGCGGGUGGAUACUGUCGAGCUCGAGUCCGGAAGAGGCGAGUGGAAUUCCUGGUGUAGCGGUGAAAUGCGCAGAUAUCAGGAGGAACACCGAUGGCGAAGGCGGUUCUCUGGGACGGUACUGACGCUGAGACGCGAAAGCGUGGGGAGCGAACAGG
rnacentral:rRNA from 1 species